GUCUACGGUCAUGCUACCCUGAACAAGCCCGAUCCCUGGCUGAUCUGGGAAGCUAAGCAGUGUCGGGCCCGGUCAGUACUUGGGUGGGAGACCACCUAGGAAGACCGGUGCUGUAGGCA
rnacentral:rRNA from 1 species